UACGUAGGGGGCUAGCGUUGUCCGGAAUCAUUGGGCGUAAAGAGCGUGUAGGCGGUCCGGUAAGUCCGCUGUGAAAGUCGGGGGCUCAACCCUCGAAUGCCGGUGGAUACUGUCGGGCUAGAGUGCGGAAGAGGCGAGUGGAAUUCCUGGUGUAGCGGUGAAAUUCGUAGAUAUCGGGAGGAACACCAGUGGCGAAGGCGGCGAUCUGGGAAGAUACUGACGCUGAGGUGCGAAAGCGUGGGGAGCAAACAGG
rnacentral:rRNA from 1 species